AUUGAACGCUGGCGGCAUGCCUUACACAUGCAAGUCGAACGGCAGCGCGGGAGCAAUCCUGGCGGCGAGUGGCGAACGGGUGAGUAAUAUAUCGGAACGUGCCCAGUAGUGGGGGAUAGCCCGGCGAAAGCCGGAUUAAUACCGCAUACGACCUGAGGGUGAAAGCGGGGGAUCGCAAGACCUCGCGCUAUUGGAGCGGCCGAUAUCAGAUUAGCUAGUUGGUGGGGUAAAGGCCUACCAAGGCAACGAUCUGUAGUUGGUCUGAGAGGACGACCAGCCACACUGGGACUGAGACACGGCCCAGACUCCUACGGGAGGCAGCAGUGGGGAAUUUUGGACAAUGGGCACAAGCCUGAUCCAGCAAUGCCGCGUGCAGGAAGAAGGC
rnacentral:rRNA from 1 species